UACGUAGGGUGCAAGCGUUGUCCGGAAUUAUUGGGCGUAAAGGGCUCGUAGGCGGUCCAUCGCGUCGGGAGUGAAAAGCUGGGGCUUAACCCCAGUCCUGCUUCCGAUACGGGUGGACUAGAGGUAGGUAGGGGAGAACGGAAUUCCUGGUGUAGCGGUGAAAUGCGCAGAUAUCAGGAGGAACACCGGUGGCGAAGGCGGCUCUCUGGACCACUACUGAGCUGAGGCGCGGAAAGCUAGGGGAGCAAACAGG
rnacentral:rRNA from 1 species